CAUGUUUAAUUUUUAACGCACGUUGUUUGUUUAUUUUAUUCGUGCGCAAAAUCAGUGUAGUAGAUGCAGGUCGUGUUAUUUGUCCUGUGCAGAAUAACUAACAGCUCCCUGGCACCGUCUGACGGGUUUUGACGUGUUAUAUGGAUGAAGUGAUGGAGAGAGAUGCUCAUCAGGUCUGAUUCUGGUUUGGGGCGCUAUGAGGAAACCGCAGCUCCUCUUCACAACAAACGCCCUCAGAUUCAUCAGUGCAGCUGCAGUUUGGUGCUGAAAUGAAGGAAGACAACAAACUACAAUCUUCACUAAACCGCGCUUUCUAAUGAUCGUGUUCACAGAUACCGACGCAGCCGGGACAAACUGCGGGGUUAGAGAUCAUCACACAAUGACAGGAAGAAAUGAUCAGCGUCGACGUUUCAGCCAACUCAAACUAAACACACACAGAAACGUUCCUGUAGGAUGAGGUCAAACGACAAGAGAGUUUAAUAGCUCUUAUGGAUUAGAUGUAGAUAUGUUAAUGUGAGGCUGUUGAAACGCUGAUCAUUUCUUACUGUAAUUGUGUGAUGGUCCCUAACACCGCCAUUUGACCAGGAGCAGGAAUACCGUGGGCCGUUUGCUGUGAAGAGGAGAUGCAGUUUCCUUAAACCCCCCAAAAUCAAACCCGGACCUGAUGAUCGUGUCUGUUCAUCAUCUCAUCAGAACCCGUCAGACAGUCUCAGGGAACUGUUAUCAAAACACGAACAACGUGCGUUCAGUUAAAAAUAAAACAUGACCCGGCUACCAGAAAACGAGAGAACGAAUUAGAAAAUCGUGAUCACGAAUAAACAAAAACGUAAAGUAGUAAAGAAAACGUGCUCACGAUUAAAAGAAAACGAGGGGACGAUUUAAGAAAUCUUGAAAACGAAUAAGAGAAAACGUGCGUACGAACUGCAAAACGUUCACUGGAAUUAAUUAUUUAAUAGUGAACCGAUAUAAAAGCAGACCUUGACUAACUCACUGCGGCGUCUCCAGUCCCCCAGCGGCCCCCGGCUGGAGGUUUGGCUGCGCAGUGCUGACCGUUUGUGUAAAAGACGUGUAUACAAAGUUUGUAAAGGACUACACGGGCCGUUGGGAGGGCUGCUACAGCUAACGUUAGCGCAGACUGAGCUUGGCGCGGCCUCCUUCAACUCCAGCUGCUGAGUAGCGGUCGGGACAACAAUACACACAAGCUAACAGCCAGCCGUUCACCUUCUACGACACACACCUGGCUCACCCAGCCAGCCAAUAAAUAACUUUCUCUUUGGAUGAUGUCAUCU